GAUGAACGCUAGCGGCAGGCCUAAUACAUGCAAGUCGGACGGGAUUUGGGAGCUUGCUCCCAAUGAGAGUGGCGCACGGGUGCGUAACACGUAUGUAACCUACCUUUAUCAGGGGGAUAGCCUCUCGAAAGAGAGAUUAACACCGCAUAACAUCAUUUGAUAGCAUUAUUUAAUGAUCAAAUAUUUAUAGGAUAAAGAUGGGCAUGCGGAACAUUAGCUAGAUGGCGGGGUAACGGCCCACCAUGGCUAUGAUGUUUAGGGGAUCUGAGAGGAUCGACCCCCA
rnacentral:rRNA from 1 species